rnacentral:rRNA from 1 species
UACGUAGGGGGCAAGCGUUGUCCGGAAUCAUUGGGCGUAAAGCGCGUGUAGGCGGUUCGAUAAGUCUGCUGUGAAAGUCCAGGGCUCAACCCUGGGAUGCCGGUGGAUACUGUCGGGCUAGAGUACGGAAGAGGCGAGUGGAAUUUCCGGUGUAGCGGUGAAAUGCGUAGAUAUCGGAAGGAACAUCAGUGGCGAAGGCGACUUCCUGGACCAAUACUGACGCUCAGGUGCGAAAGCGUGGGGAGCAAACAGG